rnacentral:tRNA from 1 species
GCGGGGGUAGCGAAGCCUGGUCAAACGCGCAGGACUCAGAAUCCUGUCCCUUAGUGGGUCCGAGGGUUCAAAUCCCUUCCCCCGCA